UACGGAGGAUGCGAGCGUUAUCCGGAUUUAUUGGGUUUAAAGGGUGCGUAGGCUGUUAUAUAAGUCAGUGGUGAAAUAUUCGGGCUCAACCGGGAUACUGCCAUUGAUACUGUAUAGCUGGAAUAUGGUUGCUGUGGGUGGAAUGUGUGGUGUAGCGGUGAAAUGCAUAGAUAUCACACAGAAUAUCGAUUGCGAAGGCAACUCACAAAGCCAUUAUUGACGCUGAUGCACGAAAGUGUGGGGAUCAAAC
rnacentral:rRNA from 2 species